UACAGAGGUCUCAAGCGUUGUUCGGAUUCAUUGGGCGUAAAGGGUGCGUAGGCGGCGCGGUAAGUCGGGUGUGAAAUCUCGGAGCUUAACUCCGAAACUGCAUUCGAUACUGCCGUGCUUGAGGACUGGAGAGGAGACUGGGAGUUUACGGUGUAGAGGUGAAAUUCGUAGAUAAUUCGCAAGAACACCAGUGGCGAAGGCGGCUCACUGGCCCGGUACUGGACCGCUGAGGCACGAAAGCGUGGGGAGCAAACAGG
rnacentral:rRNA from 1 species